GCGUCUAAUGGCCAAUUUCUUCACUUUCGGAUAAAAUUCAUCCUCCGGAUAAAUCCCCAGUUAUCCAGUCAUUUUCAAGUUUCAGAAGUUUAUCCGCAGGUGAAGAAAUUGGCCAUAAACAUAUUAAGGUAAUCAUAUUUUUUUUUUUUUUUAGAAAAAUGAGCAAAUGCAUGAGGUUAUAAUUAUUAAUGUGUUAGUGUCAGUUUUAUGUUGGUGGUUGGUGCAUCCUUUUCUAUAUCAACCUUGUCCCCCUCUUCGGGGACUUGCAAGUGCUGCCUCUUAUGACAAAUUCCUCAACUUCUAGUAUUCUUAAGUAUUUCCCUCCAUAGUUUUUUGAACUCUAUAAUUUUUCUAACUUGCUGAUAUAAUUAAAAUUAAUAUAUGCACUUAGCGCACGUUUUAUAGCACUCUACAGAAAUGAUCUCUAGAUGCAAUAUAUUGAUACCUCUAAGUUUAUUCAUUUUGCAACAUAAUUUCAGCAAGCAUCAAUCUUCCAUGUAAUGAUGUUCUAUGCUUAAAUGCGAAAAUGGUUUCUACGCGUGGCCCUAAGUUUAAAUUUUGUGAUGGCGAAAAGGUUUUAUGUUAUGAACCGGACCCAACAAAGGCUAAAGUACUUUAUGAUUCAAAGGUUUUAGAUGUAAUUGUCAAUAAAGAUCAAAGAGGUCGAAAAGCUGUUGAAUAUUUGAUACAUUUUCAAGGGUGGAACUCAUCAUGGGAUCGUUGUGUAACUGAAGAGUAUGUUUUGAAAGACACCGAAGAAAAUCGACAGUUGCAAAGAGAUCUUGCACAGAAAGCUCAACUUCAAUUAGGUGCAUAUUUAUACCGAAGAGAACGCAAAAAGAGAAGUCACAAGUCGUCAUCAGAACGCUUAACAGGAUCAGGAACGGAGCCGAGACGGAGAGCUAGAAGCGGUGGAAGCCGUGCUACCUCAGCAACAACUGGAUCAUCAGAAGAUGGUAGUUCAGGACAACACGACGAUUAUGACACUGAGGAAGCUAUCACGGAAGAAGACAGCGAGAGCAGCUCUGAAUAUAUUGAAGAUACAAGUGACGAUGAUGAAAGCGGUGGAGGAAGUCAAUCUGGCGCAAGUAAUAGACCUGGUGUAGACCUAGACAUAGGUGCUACGCUGAAGCGCAUUCUGGAUCAAGAUUUCGACUUAAUUACACAAAAGAAUAAACUUGCAGUAUUACCUGCACAACCUACAGUGGCGAACAUCCUGGAGUCUUGGGUACAACAUUUUACUACAACGCAACUAACAAAUAUUCCGGAGAAGCCACAAAGAAACAAGUCGAAUAACACUGUUGAGAAAACUGUGAAUGAUGUUAACAUUUGUCGAGAAGUCGCCGACGGCUUGCGAAUAUAUUUCGACUUUACAUUACGGGAUCUUUUAUUGUAUCGACAAGAGAGAGAACAGUACUGUACAUUGAAGUCCUCGUUUCAGUAUAGUGAAAGUGCUUGUCCCGUAAAAGAAGAGCCUGUUGAGAAUUCAGAUGUUGUGAUUAAGGAGGAACUUGAAGAUGCUGAAUAUGCUCACUUACCUCCAUUUCGUGAACAGGAAUCAGAAAUCGAAAAUUCGUCCAAGCCGCUUACUUAUGUUAAACGCAGAUUGCGUUCCUGUAGAGUAAGUUCAGUCGACGAAGGAAGGCAACUGAGAUCUUACGAAGACGUCAAACAGGAACCAGGAAAUUUGUCAAGUCACUUGACACUUUCAGUAGUAUGGCCAGUACAAGUUCUCGUUGCUCAAGUCCACGUGGUGUUACUUUGCGAAUGCCUGUUAUACCUUCGGCACAGAUUGGAGCUCUGCUUCAGCAAUCGAAUAGUUGGCGACUGAUGCCAGAUGCUGCGAAACGAGCUAAUCCUCCAUUACCAUCAUCUUACUACGGUGCCAUUCAUCUUACCAGACUCUUUGUCAAAUUACCAGACUUAUUACAAUGCACCGAUAUAUCAGACAAAAAGCUAAAAAUAUUGUUGAAACAUUUGGAUAUGUUCUUAAGCUAUAUGGAAAUGCAUCGAGAAUGGUUUGGAGAACAAUUUUAUAUGCAAGUGGAGAAUCAUCCACUGCCACAACCAACGAGUCCUUGAAGAAAGUGUAAGACAAGAUUAUAUAUAUAUUUUUCCACUUAGUAAUUUAUCUAAAGAAUAAUGCAUACUUAACUAGGAAAUAUAAAGCAAUUCUUCAAUUAAAAAUGUACAAUUAGAAAAGUCUAAUAGUUAGUUUUUGAAAACAACAACUAAUAGUCUCCUGGUCCAGUCCUUGCCCUCAUCCAGCGUUACAAAGAAUUUCUUCCAUUUCUUUAAAGCACAUCUUGUGGACAUCAACGUCUUCUUCAUUUGGCUGAUGACCUGGAUGUUAUUAACCAAGGAAGAGCUAAGGAUAAAAAGUAUAUUAAUAAGCUUUGAAUAGUACUUGAAAAGAAAAGAAACGAUUAUUUCCGCAAAGGAACAACAGAUUUUAAAGAAGUCAACAAUGAAAAGGAACAGAACAGAAAAGAAAAAAGACCAGAACCAAUGCAAUGUAAGUGAAGUAAAUCUAGAAUGCAGGAGACAAAAGGUUCAAAAGGAUAAUUAUGAGAAAAGCCGCAUGUUGAAUCUUGCAAUUUGCUUCCUCCUAAUCGUAAGUAGUGUACAAAGUCCCUACAUGAGAAAGCAUUUUCAUUUUUUUUAAAUCUUUGGCUUCCUCAUGGAUUUCCACCAAAUCUUAUACCCAACAACUUUGCACGGUGAUUUAUAUGAAUCGACGAAAUUGAGCAUGGCAAGUGAAAUACUAUUGAAUCGGUUGAAAUUGAAAACUCAAAAACUUGAAUUGUAUGCAGAAACAGAUCCGUUUUACCGAUAUACGCCAAAUUUGAUACAUAUCACGGCUGAAUGAUAUUCUAUACUUUUAGAAAGUUAGAGUUCAAUCGGUGAAAGUUGACGGGAGUUAUAUUGAAAAAUUUGAUUUUUCGAAAAAUUCAAAAUAUCAUAAAAUCAAAACUUCUCGAUGGAUUCAAUACCAACCAACCUUAGAUACAAAUCUUUUAGUCAAGAACUAUGUAGGCCAGUAUCACAAAAUUUGCGACUGCUAGAGUGAUAACGAUCUUUUUUGGAGGAUUUGAAAACGAUUAUGUGAACGUAAUU